GAUGAAGAACGCAGCGAAAUGCGAUACUUGGUGUGAAUUGCAGAAUCCCGUGAACCAUCGAGUCUUUGAACGCAAGUUGCGCCUCAAGCCAUUAGGUUGAGGGCACGUCUGCCUGGGCGUCACAUAUCGUUGCCUGAUGCCAGUUUCCUCGUGAUGGGUGACUGUGCAGGGCGAAUGAUGGCUUCCCGUGAGCAUUGUUGCCUCAUGGUUGGUUGAAAAUUGAGUCCUUGGUAGGGAGCGCCGUGAUAGAUGGUGGUUGAGUGACGAACGAGACCCAAUCAUGUGAGACCCCUACCGAAUUUGGCCUUCAUGACCCACAUGCGUCUUUGGAACGCUCAUGACGAGACCUCAGGUCAGGCGGGGCUACCCGCUGAGUUUAAGCAUAUCAAUAGCGGAGA
rnacentral:misc_RNA from 1 species